rnacentral:lncRNA from 1 species
UUUUUUUUUUUUUUUUUUUUUUUUUUUUGCUUUUUAGGGCUGCACCUGUGGCACAUGGAGGUUCCCAGGCUAGGGGUCUAAUCGGAGCUGUAGCCACUGGCCUACACCACAGCCACAGCCACAGCAAUGCGGGAUCCAAGCCACAUCUGUGACCUACACUGCAGCUCACGGCAAUGCCAGAUUCUUAACCCACUGAGCAAGGCCAGGGAUUGAACCCUCAUACUCAUGGAUACUAGUCAGGUUCGUUACCAAUAAGCUGCAAGGGGAACUCCCCCAGUGACUUUCUAAUCCUCUUAGUUUAUUGUCUAGAAUUAGUAAUGUAGCCUACAAAGCCUGGCCUUCUGCUGAAUUCUCAUGUUGUGCCACUUCCUCUUUCUUUCAGUUUCUUGAAAUCCCAAAUUCCUUCCUGUCUUCUUGUUGUUUUAUAUGCUUAUAUUCUCUGUCUGGAAGGGAAUGCCCUCUAUAUUUGGCUAAUGUUUUUACUUACUGUCUCAAUUUAAAUGCUCCUUCUGAAGGCAGGCCUUCUCUGAUGUCUCAAGACUACAUCAGAUUCUUGCAGUGACAUCCCAUAGCCAUCUAUACAUCUCCUAUGAAAACUGUUGCAACUACUUUUUUUCCCUACUAUCCUAUGAAUUCUAUAAGGACAGGGAACAUGUCUAGCCACUGCUUUAUUUCCACUGUUUAGCAAAGUGCCUGACAAAUUAUUUCUACUCAAUAGUUUGUGAAUGAUUGAAUUAAUAGAAGAAUAGAAAUUAUUUAUAGAACUAUUAAUUUGGAGUGGAGGUACGGAUCACGGAAGUCUUUAAAGAGAAAACGGUAUUUAAAAUAUGUCUUAAAGAAUGAAAAGGAGGUUGGGAUGGAGGCAUCCUAGCAACUUGAAAUACCAUUUUUAAAGCUAUAGAGGGAAAAGAAGUGCAAGGCCUCAAAAUACAAAAUGUGACUUAGAGUUGUCUAGUGUGAGCUAUAGCACGGGAGAGAGUGGUAGAAAGUGAGACUAGCUGUAAAGCACGAGAAAAUGGUAGAAGGUAAGACUAGAAGGUAGUAAGUUGGGUAGGAUUGUAAGGGUUUUUGUGUAUAACGUGAUUAAUGAUGCUUGACUGCAUCCAAGAGAACAGCAACCAUCAUUUUGUGAUGUGGGAAAUUCAGAGAUCAGAGCUGACAGGUAACAGUGAAGAACUAACAUCACAGGUACAAAGCAAAAUAGGUAUAAAAAUUACUCCUUUCCUUUGUGGUUCUACCUCUCUUUUGGGGGGCCCCCCUAUAGACCUAAAUCCCUAUUUUAGUGACAAGAGAGCAUAUAUGGGGCUGGCCUGACUUUCCAAGUCAUUAGAGAAAUGGCUGAGUAUAAAGACUGAGGAACGAGGAGUCAUGUCACUCUCUUGAAAACCCAUCAACACAAUUCCCCAGGCCAGUAGAAAAAUGGUGUCUCUUCAUCCGCUUUGUGUUCUUUUUUCAGUUUGGUAAAUUACAUCACAGCUUUCAUUGGAUUUUCCAUUUUUUUCGGGAGUCUUGGACUUUCCUAGAGGAUAUUUCUAAGUCUUUAGGCAAUUGGUAUUCAGUAUUGUAAUGUCUGAUUCUUUCAAGGGACGCAUUUGGAAACAGAGAACAGUGACACUGACCUUUUCUCUGAGUGGCUGCCUUUGCAAACAUCAUAGCAAAUGCAUUUAGGAAUUGCUCAUUCAUGGGGGCUGUUCAGAAGCAGAGCGAGGGAAGUGUCCUGGGAAUUGACAGUAGCAGCAAAACAGUACAGAAAAGAGCAGGAACAUUCAGCUAUGAUGAAUGGGGUCAUUUUUGCUUUGAAAAGAUUGAUGCUUCCUCAUUUGGAGGAUGGAUCCAUAUACUCUUAAAUUCUUGGUUGAAUAUAUGUUUGUUUGUUUGUUUUGACAGAGAGGAUCAUAAACAUGGCCAUGAUGCUAGUUGAACUUCUGUUCUCAGCUACCUGAGUGACAUUUGGCAAGCCCUUUCUCUGGGUAUUAGUUUUAGCCGCUGUAAAACGAGGGGGUUGGACUAAAUUAUCUCUACACUCCCUUCCCACUCUGACAUUUGACAAUUCUGUGACUUGUAAUUGGGUACAUUUAUGCAUGUUGUGGUGAAAAUGUGAUCGUAUAUGACUAGAAGGUGGGUAGUAGAAAUAGUUCAGUUUCUUUUCAUUUAACACAAUGGGGUUGGUGUAUGUGUUUUGAUGUAUAAUUCAUGAAAUUUUUCAAUUUCUAGCUUAGAGAGAGUUCGUGACAAUAAAAUUACAUUCUGUCUAAUCGGUUCACCUAUGUUGUGUGUGUGGGUAGGGGGCUCAUUGCAGAAGAGUGUGUUAGCUAAGAGGGGUCAUCUGGAGGUGGUGGGACACGUAAGCUCCUGUUUGUGAUGGAGAAACACAAGAACGGGAAGAGAAAGAUUAAACCUAGCUUUACGUAAGCUGCUUCAUAAAAGUUUUUGAAAAACACUAGGAAUUGUUAUCAGCUUGUCAACUAAAUUGGAGCCAAUCUCUGUUUAUACCCUCAGUGGCAACCUCUUCAAGGUGGACAAACAGACUAUCCAUGUAUUCAUUGUUUCACUCUUGAGAGAAAGAGGCAGUAUUAAAGCUCUUCUUCAGGAUUAGAGAAGAGGAAAUGAGGUGAGAGAAGGAUUCCAUAGGUCUCCUGUCUCUUCUAACUCUCAUCCAGUUAGCAGGGGAGUGGGCUGUAGCAUCCAGUAUUGACUCCCCUUCUUACCUGUUUCUCCUCCUCCUCUGCAAAUAUCCUUAACAGCAAACAACAAAAACCAUUGAGAGGAGUGGGAGAGCUGAAAGAGCAAGGGCUAGAUUACCUACAUCAGCCCUAUUCCAUCCAAUUAUCAAUUGAUGAACAUUUUGUUGGCAGCUACCCAAGGAGACAUUGAGACAGGGGGACUAUUGAAGGAAGAUGAGGAGGGCGAUAUUUGGGCAUCAAAGUCAAACCAUUUAGCUCUUAUUAUUGCAGAGAAUCAUAGCAGAUGGUGUCACAUUUUACUAUUCAACUUGCUUUAUUUGGUGCAUGAGCCCUAUUUUGCCAACUCUUAGCUUUUAUGCUUCCUCAUAACAAUGGAUUAUUGUGUCAGUGAAAAGAAAUGGAGGAAAGUGAAGUUAGAACAGAUAAAGCACAGGUAAGCAACACCGUACUCCGAAGCAGCUAUAUGGAACACACAAGUUGGUUAGGGAGCACAUAUUUAUACAAUGUCUACUCUGCUUCUCAAAGUAGUCUUCAAAGCAGCAACUGAACAAGGGCAAACAAUAGAAAGCAAAGUAGAGGAAUUGAGUUGUUAGACAUAGGUGGAUUUUUAUCAUAAAAGAUUUCCUGGAGAACAUAAAUUUGGGGAAGGUAUACAUAUAUACCUAUAAUUGCUGUAAUUAUACUAUACCUAUAAUUGCUUUGUAAUCAGGAGAUCAUUGGGACACUUUUCUAGUGAAUGCUUCUAUCUCAGUAGUAAUCUUGGUAUUUUCAACUGGGGUAUGGAAUUAUUGUGCUAUGUUAGUUAAUACUUGUUGUCAUGCAUGUCUCAGGGAGUGCACUGUCCUUUAAGACAACUGGCAAGGGAACAAGGUACUUGGAAGCUUUUAAUUGGCCUGGGAAAGGAUGAAAUUUGCCACUCGACAUGACAAAAGGAACAAGUACACGGUGUACUUCUUCCCUAAUGAGAUUCAAGAUUGGUGGAGAAGGAAGAUCUUCCUGAUUUUCAGUUACUUGGAUGGAGUGUCCAGAAAGACAGAAAUGAACAGUGAAGUACACAAUAAGGGUCAUAGUGACCCAGCAUUUUAGCAGCCCUUAAAUCUCUGUUGAUUCUCCCAGAAUGAACCUGAGGCAUGGGUCUCUUGGGAUAAAAAGGAUAUCUUCAGAGAGAAAAACCUUUUGCUAGGAGACAAGAGCCCUGUCCCAAAUCUGGCUUGAAAUAUUAUUUUCAGUGUGGCUUUAAACAUUUUAUUUUCCUAAUAUUCAUAUUUGAUUUAUUAUCUAUUGAACACAAAGGAAUUAUUUUCCUGGCUGUAUAACUUGAUCCCAUCAGAUAACUUUCAAAUACAAAAUCUUUCUAUUUGCCACAUGAUGAUUUGGAAGGGUAGUAAGAGGGAGAAGGUGGGGCUGGGAGUGGGAUAAUUGGAAAUGUAGGAGUGUUUCAGUGAGCUCCACCAAUAGUUCAGUCUUGAGUGGAAUGUAAUUGUAGACUCUCAUUCAAUUGUAUCAUCCAGCAGGCCUGCCUGACACGUUGCCUGUUUUCUCUAACAGUUUCUUCACUGCUGUGGACUGAAUUGUGUCCCCUCAAAUCCAUAGGUUGAAGCCCUAGCCCCCAGUGUGAUGGUAUUUGGAGAUGGGAUCUUUGGGAGGUAAUUAGGUUUAGAUAAAGUCACGAGGGUAGGGACCUCAUGAUGGGAUUAGUACCCUCAUAAAAAGAGACACCAGGGUUCUCUCUCUCUCUCCCUGCCACGUGAUGAUACACCAGGAAAGUGGUUGUCUGCAACAUGGGAAGAGAGCGCUUGCCAUUAAUUGAUGCUGGCACUGUUAUCUUAAACUUCUAGCCUCUGAGAAAAUAAAUUUCUGUCAUUUCAGCCACCUAGUGUUACUUUGUUACGGCAGCUUGAGCAAGCUAAGAUUAUUACCCUCUCCUAAAGUGGGCCUGACAUGUGAUGUGUAAAGAAAGGAAAUCUAAUACCACCAAGUUGAGUUUAUAUUCUUGAGAAUCUGUUAGAGCUUGUCUCUUCAGGGGUCUCCUUGUGGGGGGUAAUACAAGUUAUUUAUUAUAUUGUUAUAGUGAGGCUUGAUUACCAUCCUUUGUAUCAAAAUAUCCCCCCUUCCAUACCACGUUCCAUUUUACACCACUUUUUUAUUUCUGCCUCAUUAGUGUGGCUUUUCUCCAUGUUUGUUACUUUUUAGUCAUGGGAACAAAGAAGCUGGAGGACAUUAUAGGAGAGUUCAGAGUUAUUGGUUUCUUUUCAGGUGUGACAUUAAUGACCAUGUUUAUCAUUUUUUUCCUCAGCCAUGGGCUGCCUUUUGGAUUCUCUAAUAUAUGGCCACUGUGUCACUAUGUGUAUUUGCAACACUGGUACUAUGUUAAGGUCUAUGAAGUCUUGGUGGUUAAUCCACUAAUAAGUUAAUACAAGCAAUAUUCAUUGAGCACCUAUGACAUGCAAGAUUCUGUCCUAAAUGCUGAGAUAUUGAUAAAUGAGAAAGGCAAGUUCAUUUUUGCCCAUAUAGUGCUUAUAUUCUAGCCUAAAAAGACAGAUAAUAAAUAUAUAGAGAGAAAUGAACUUAAAGACAUAAUGUAAACUGGUAAUAAUUGCUAGAAUAAAAUGGUGUAGAGAAUUGAUGAGUCAGUGACUGCUUUAGAUAAGUUAAUCAGGGAAUUUUUCUCUAAGGAAGUGACAAACAAGCUGAGACUUGAGUAAUGAGUGAUAAGAAAGAACUGGAAAAUUGCAAGUAGAGACUAGUGCAAAAACACGAAGUUGGAAAUGUACUGAGCAUGUACAUAGAACAUAAAGAAAAACCAGUGUGGCUGGAAGUAAUGAGAGAGACAGAUAGAUGAUAAUGUCAAAAGAUAUUCAAGGACCCUAUAAUGGCAGGGGUUGGGGGGAGGGUGGUGGCAUCCAGAAUGCUAUGGUAGAGUGUUUGAACUUUAUUCUGGAAGCAGUGGACGGUCAUUGAUGGGUAUGGAAAGGGGUCUGAUUUACACUUUGCAAAGGUGAUUCUGGCUGCUAUAUGGACAAUGGGCUAUAAGGGACCAGAUUGAAGACAGAGCUCAGUUAUAACCUAUUGUAGUACUCUAAGAGAAAGACAAUAGUGGAUUGGGCUAAGAAGGUACAGAGUAGGUAAAGAGAAGUCUUUGGAUACUGGAUAUCUUUUCAGAGUAGAUCAGCAGAGGUUGAUGGAUUGGAUAUCGUGGUUGCAUGAAAUGCCAUAACUAUGGUCAUCCUGUGGCCUUUGCCUGCUUACUCAACUUCCGCUGUUCAAAUGUAAUCAUCCCUUGGUUUCCAGUGUUCUUUAAUUUCAAUAUGGCAAGCCUUAGUGUGAGUAUACUUUCAUCAGUUUUGUUAGGUACUCAAUUAUCCCUUUUAAUCUGAAAACUAUUUCUUCAGUUCUGAGAAUUUUACUUAAAUGAUUUCUUCAAUAAUUUCCUCUCCUCCAUUUUCACUCUUCUCUUUCAGGAAAACCUAUCAUUCCUAUGUUGGACCUCCUGGUUUAUUCUU